GACGAACGCUGGCGGCGUGCUUAACACAUGCAAGUCGAACGGUAAGGUCCUUCGGGGUACACGAGUGGCGAACGGGUGAGUAACACGUGGGUGAUCUGCCCUGCACUUCGGGAUAAGCCUGGGAAACUGGGUCUAAUACCGGAUAGGACCACUGCCUGCAUGGGUGGUGGUGGAAAGCUUUUGCGGUGUGGGAUGGGCCCGCGGCCUAUCAGCUUGUUGGUGGGGUAAUGGCCUACCAAGGCGACGACGGGUAGCCGGCCUGAGAGGGUGACCGGUCACACUGGGACUGAGAUACGGCCCAGACUCCUACGGGAGGCAGCAGUGGGGAAUAUUGCACAAUGGGCGCAAACCUGAUGCAGCGACGCCGCGUGAGGGAUGACGGCCUUCGGGUUGUAAACCUCUUUCCGCUAUGACGAAGCGCAAGUGACGGUAGUAGCAGAAGAAGGACCGGCCAACUACGUGCCAGCCGCCGCAGUAA
rnacentral:rRNA from 1 species